GUGGAUUUAAAGACAGAUCCAGGAAAACGUGCACGCUUGGAAUGCUAUUUGGCGAUGAGGGGAGGCUUUAGCUUAAAGCUCGUAGUCAGGGGUAUACUGUCUGUGCUAUUUUCAACAGAAUUAGCCCGGUGUUACAACUAUAAUGGCCUGAAGGGAAAGAAGGGACUGAAGAACCACCCCUUUAUUUUAAGAACAGUUCAGGGAAUGCUAUUUGGCAAUGCGUGGGGGAUUCACUUUAAAGCAUAUCGUCAGGGACAAACGGUCUCUGCUAUUUUCAAAUAAAUUAGCCAGUCUUACAACUUCCAUGGUCUGAAGGGAAAGAAGGGACUCACGAACCACCCCUUUCUUUUACAAACAGUUCAGGAUGCUGCACGAAAAACUUGCCCUCAAGCUACUGAAGCAGAACUGCAGACGCAGAUCUCUAGCUGGUUAGCUGGUGCUAGGGAUUGAGAGAAUGGCAGAAGGGAAAGGGCACCUGAGCACAGACUGUUAAAGUCAGUAAAUAGUUCUGGGGUGGGGAACGAAUUGGAGGACAAGUAAAGCUGUACAAUUUUUGCAUAUUUAAAAUUAGUUUUUUAAUUAACAAUUUCAAUAAACAUCAGAAAACGACAAAUCAUGUUUGUUUUUUGUAACAUUUUGUUUGGCAUUUAUAGGGUUAUUUUGAUGCAUUUGAUAUUAUUGGUUUUUCUAGGAAUUUUGGCAUAUCCUGAUUUAAAAACAACGUAAAUCAGAAUAUGCCAAAAUACCUAAAAUUACCAAUAAUAGCUGGAAAUCUAGGUAUCUAGGUUCACAUGGGCUUCCCAUAUAGGAAGCCCAUCUCAGCCCACGGUCGGACCUGUUUGCGCUUUCGGCGGUUGGGCCGAUAUAGGCUUCCCAUAUGGUCAUAAGAUAGCUCAUAUGGGUCCUAUAUGGGACACACAUGGGUCCUAUAUGGCCUCUCCUCCAAAUGCUACUAGGGACAUAAUCUGCAUUCAUGCUUCUGCACUUGUAUACAAACAUACACCCUCAUAUCUUUUCUUCAUAAUUUUGGGAA